UCCGGCAGCUAGCUCUAUGCAACUCCCACAUGAUCGCUCACUAAAUCUAAGCAGGGCUGCACCUGGUCAGUACCAAGAUGGGAGACCACAUGGAAAAACUAAGUUGCUGCCGUAA
ensembl:rRNA 5S_rRNA 5S ribosomal RNA